CCUACGGGUGGCAGCAGUGAGGAAUAUUGGUCAACGGACGAGAGUCUGAACCAGCCAAGUAGCGUGAAGGAUGACUGCUCUAUGGGUUGUAAACUUCUUUUAUAUGGGAAUAAAAUGUUCCACGUGUGGGAUUUUGUAUGUACCAUAUGAAUAAGGAUCGGCUAACUCCGUGCCAGCAGCCGCGGUAAUACGGAGGAUCCGAGCGUUAUCCGGAUUUAUUGGGUUUAAAGGGAGCGUAGGUGGAUUGUUAAGUCAGUUGUGAAAGUUUGCGGCUCAACCGUAAAAUUGCAGUUGAAACUGGCAGUCUGGAGUACAGUAGAGGUGGGCGGAAUUCGUGGUGUAGCGGUGAAAUGCUUAGAUAUCACGAAGAACUCCGAUUGCGAAGGCAGCUCACUGGACUGCAACUGACACUGAGGCUCGAAAGUGUGGGUAUCAAACAGGAUUAGAUACCCCAGUAGUC
rnacentral:rRNA from 1 species